rnacentral:lncRNA from 10 species
UCCUCCUCACUUGCCGAAACAGCCGGUCCCGGAGCUCAUCCACUAACAUGGCAUCCUGACGGUUCAGCUUGGCAGGGGUGGCCAUGAGGCCCCGGAGGAUGGGGUCGAUGCCCCCUGGUGGCAGGGAAUGUGAGCAGCACAGAUUGGACCAGCCUCUGGGAAGCUACUUGGGUUAUCACAUGAUGCCAAGCUAGCCCAGAGCUGGACAAGCCAGUCGGGUAUGUUAGUAACGUUUGUCAGGAAACAGAGUUCUGGAGAGACAUGAAGCAGCUGGAGCUGGGAGGUACUUCUUAAGGAAUGGAAGGUACUGUUCAGGAGCUGGGAGGAUUUAAAAAUGAAUAAUGCAUGGCGCCUGCCCUCAAGAAGCUCUCAUUCCAGUUAAAGAGAAAAGCAGAAACACACAUGAAGUAGUAGCCUUGGAAAUGAAUUCACUACCCUAGAUUUGGAACACUGGCAUUCUCAGGAUUCUUCUCAUCCCGGUUAUUGGUCUUACAAAAAAAAAAUUCUUCAAAAAGGAUUUUUGAAAGAUGCUGGACACAAGUCACCAAUGUUCUUGUGCUAGAAGAAGAAUUCGUGUCCUAAAGAGCAAUGGUGGUGUUUCAGGACCAUGGACAGUAGCACAUGGCUACAGACACCUAAAAAAGCUCCCAACGCUCACCUCACCCUGCAAGUUCCUCCAGAAGGGCCCGUCAAGGCUGGCAGUGGACACCUUGCAGGUUAAAUCCAUGGUCUUCCUCCAAGUCGGGCUUAGAAAACUCCUCCCCACAAAAUAUCACAUAGUAGGCACUGAAUAAAUUUUUGUUCAAUUAAUUAACAAAUUUAUUACAGCAAAGGGUUGCACUUAUGUGCUCAAUUCACCCAACAAAUAUUUAUUUAAGCCCCUAUUGUGUGACAUGCAUGAACCUUUCAGACAGGAUGUUUUGUGACUGAGGUCCCUGUUUCAUGGUGUGUAGCUGGUGUCUUAUGAGUAUGACAGUAGGCGCUACAUAGGGCUGCUUCCUGCCUGCAUCUCUGGUAGAAAGUAAAGUCUAAUACAAUUUUUCCUGUUUUCUUCUGUUAAAAUUCUGGACCACUUGUUUGUCCAUCAACACUUCUUCUUCUCUUCUGAUUUCUGUCACUCUCCCUAGAGUCUAAGACAUCAGAGAAUGCAAAUAAGGUCUUUCUCCCUCGUCUUCAUUCCCAGCCCUACAGCACCAUCUCAGAUUUUGUACUGUGCAACCAAAUCUUUCCCCACUCCUACUCCCAUUUCCAUCACUCUCCCUAGAGCCUAAGACAUCAGAGAAUGCAAAUAAGGUCUUUCUUCCCCUGUCUUCAUUCCCAGCCCUACGGCACCUAACGUUUCAGAUUUUGUACUGUGCAACCAAAUCUUUUCCCACUCCUACUCCCACUCCCAUCCCUAUUCCUUAAACAAGUACAAAUGUCUUAAAGGAAAAACACCUGCUUUUUGUCAUUGUCUCUUCUGAAGUACCUAGCAUAGAGCCUGGCUUGUAGUUGUGUGUCAGUAAAUAAAUGACUCAAUCAAUAAGAAUAAAAGCCCCAUGAGGAUGGGGACUUUUGACUGUUUUAUAAUAUGUUAGACAUUCGAUAAAUAUAUGUUCAAUUAACUGAUUAAUAAAUUAACAUAUUUAUCUGUGAUA